CUGGAUGGGAGACAAGCGUACCUUUGUUUGCCAAGGAGAAUGAUGAUUGUGACCAACGAUAUUAACCACAGGUACUGGGUCAUUAUGGAAGGAGGAGGGUGGAGGUUCCAUGAUCUUUUUGGUUCUCGGAACCCUGAUCAGACCCUCAGAAUCGACACUGGUAUCAGCCCACCCCAUCCUCGUGCCUUGUUCCUUGCUGACUUUCAGCCACCAGAAUCUUAGAAGGGCUUUGAGAUCACUGGCUGUGGGAGAAGCCAGCCACCACUUGGUGAGGACACCCAAGCAGCCCUGGGAAAGGCCCAGGGGGUGAGGAACUGAGACCUCCAUCCAAGGGCUAUAAUGCAGUCAUCGUGCUAAAGGUGAAGCUGCCAUCCUGUACGUCAUCCCCAGACAUCAACCACGACACCCGGAUGGCUGAGAGGAUGGAUGCAAAGAUUCGCGUCUCUGAUAGCAUAAUGGAACUGCUGAAAUUAUCCGGGCUGCCCUCCUUUGGGUUCUCAAUACAUAAGGAAAGGAACACCCCGGUUUAGGGCAAAGCUGUUCAGAUUUCUGUUACCCACAGCAGAAUGGGCAUUUCUGGAAACAGGAACUCCUUGACGGAUGCAUCUUCAGAUAACGUGCAGACAUUCAAUUACACAGUGAAAAAAGGAUGCGGUGAGCUGGUAAUUUUAUUUAGAAUUUGUAUGGUUGACCCAUCUCUGAAAGCACGUAGUCACUGUUGUGAGGAGAACAGGGACUGCUGAGGCAGGAAAUGAUGACACAGUCUCUUUGGGCUCUCAAGAAGAGCACGGGGUUUUGAACCGAAAAUGUGCAAGCCGGCCCUGCUGGCAGCCAGGCCCUUGGUUUCCCAAUCUGCAUGGAAGCGAUGUUCAGGCAAGCCCCUCACCCUCAGAAACGUUUGGAAGGAGAGACAGAACAAGGCCAUUCUCCAAACACAAAAGUGACUGACUGACCCCCUCUUCUGAUGGAUCUGAGUGACUGCUCUCCCUUCACCAGUUACAACCAACUCUAGUGCCCCUGUUUUCUAGAUAACAUUAGAUGUCCAAUUACCAAAAUACUCUGUUCUUUUUUUUUUUUUUUUCGGUACGCGGGUCUCCUACCGCCGCGACCCCUCCCGUUGCGGAGCACAGGC